AUUGAACGCUGGCGGCAGGCCUAACACAUGCAAGUCGAGCGAGCGGCGGACGGGUGAGUGAUAUGUGGGAAACUGCCUGAUGUGGGGGGAUAACAACUGGAAACGGUAGCUAAUACAGCAUACCAUCAGAUGUGCCCCGAUGGGGUUAGCUGGUAGGUGGGGUAAAGGCUCACAUAGGCGACGAUCCCUAGCUGGUCUGAGAGGAUGACCAGCCACACUGGAACUGAGACACGGUCCAGACUCCUACGUGAGGCAGCAGUGGGGAAUAUUGCACAAUGGGCGCAAGCCUGAUGCAGCCAUGCCGCGUGUGUGAAGAAGGCCUUCGGGUUGUAAAGCACUUUCAGCGGGGAGGCGUUACCCGCAGAAGAAGCACCGGCUAACUCCGUGCCAGCAGCCGCGGUAAUAC
rnacentral:rRNA from 1 species